CGCGCGCCCUCCGGGCCGAGCCCUGGGCCUGGCCUGCCUGGGAGGAGCAGGAGGCAGAGGUCGUUACACCCGAGGGAAGCCGAGGUGCAGAGAGCACGCGUGCACCGGUGGUGAAGGGUCAGGCUGGAGUUCCAACUCGGGAGUGCCCAGCUCCUGGCAGUCUGAGCCAACACUUGGAACCGAUCAACAGAAAGACGAGAAGUUCAAGCUGCAGCUUGAAGGUGCAAAAAGUACUGAUUAAAAACAUGAUGUGAAGGAACACAGUACAUGAACCAUGGAGCUUUCCAUGACUCUCCAUAGGGACUAAAAUGGUUUCUGACAACAGGGAGAAUCUCACAGGGAAAAUGCCUGCUGCUUCUGAGGAGUUAAGAUUAAAAGCACGCGCUUCAGGAUCUCACCUGUACUUUGCGAACAAAGGAUGGAGUCACUCUUUUCUCGAAGUCAUCUAUAGCCAUUCUUCUAAGUAGCUGAUGUUGCAUCUGGAAUAAAAGCCACCGGUGAGAAGAGCAAAGAAGGAGCAGAGACAAACCACAGAAUUUGAUGAAGGGAAGAGAACUCCUUCACCCAGCACCCUUGCAAUCCCCUACCACCCAUCUGAGCACAUGUCUUUGCGCAAGAAGAGGCUGUUGAGGGUGACCGCCCCGAUCAGGAAGAAGAGCUGCUUCACAGCCU